CCCACUUUCACCUCCUGGAGCAGCAUGGUCUUCAGGAUCAAGGGCCAUUUUGUCUGAACUGCUGGUGCAAUUCUACUGAGGAAUUCUGUCAAGUGACCAUGGCUUUGACCUGUGCAGGUCCUUACACUUCAACGGUCCAUUCACAUCAGCCAGUUUGAUGCACAUCUGGCACACAAGCAAUCGGUCGUUCUCGUUGGUCCAGUCGAUGCCAGACACGCCUUCAUCACCCACCUGGGGAGGUGCACAGAGAGCAUUGCUGCUAUUUCCCCCUGGACCACCAUCCCCCAGUCCUCUCCUGAGAGGCAGUCAGGAGAUAUGUACGCAGAUCAGGCAGAAAGGCAGAUGGUGAAAACAGAGAGGGGGAGCGAGAUAAAGAGAAAAAGAGAGCUAGACACAGUGCAAAAGAGGAGCUGAGUCCACAGGCAGGCCAUGGCCAGUCAAGUGAGAAAGAGGAGAGCUCACUGUGUCAGGCCAGCUGAGCUCCUCUGCAGUCUCUGCUGUAAAUACAGCACUACAGUGAGGGGCUGACCACUCCACCAACAGUACAGAGACACUGUCACACAUACAGAAUACCUCCACACCUCUCCUACUGGCUUAAGAAUGAAUGCUGAAGCAGGAGGAUGCAGCUGAGCAUGAGCUCAGAGCCUCAGAGGCCAACUUCAUGUUCUCGAUACAGGAGGGUGGAAGCAGAAUUGUAAACAGUUGCAGGAUUACAGAGCAGAAUCGCCUCACAGUUCCAAGGCUAUUAAGCCAUAACAAAAUCUAUUGAAUUGUUAAUGAUGAUACAUGUGUU